rnacentral:rRNA from 1 species
UAAUACGGAGGGUGCAAGCGUUAAUCGGAAUUACUGGGCGUAAAGGGCGCGUAGGCGGUCUGGUUAGUCAGAUGUGAAAGCCCCGGGCUUAACCUGGGAACUGCAUUUGAUACUGCCAGACUAGAGUGUGGUAGAGGGAAGUGGAAUUCCGCGUGUAGCGGUGAAAUGCGUAGAUAUGCGGAGGAACAUCAGUGGCGAAGGCGACUUCCUGGACCAACACUGACGCUCAGGUGCGAAAGCGUGGGGAGCAAACAGGAUUAGAUACCCUGGUAGUCCACGCCGUAAACGAUGUCUACUAGCCGUUGGAGAGCUUGACUCUUUAGUGGCGCAGCUAACGCGAUAAGUAGACCGCCUGGGGAGUACGGCCGCAAGGCUA